GGGGAAAGAAAAUUAAGCCCACAAGAAAAUGGGAGUAGCUGGGUUGAAAGCACAGAGGACCAACCAUGUCCUAACCGACAUGCUCUAAUUAAGGACAGGACCUGGUUUUGCAGGGCAGAGAAUGCCAUUAGCUUUGGACAUGGAGAAUUAAAGGUGACUGAGGAACAUCCAGGUGGAGUUGUUUUGUGGGAGACAUGCGACCCUUGACAGGAGCACCGGCAGGGUGUUAGGGCUGGUGGUGUGGGCGAGGAAGCCUUCUGCAUCAAGGCUGGCACAGCUAAAGCUUGUGAAUGCAUCAGCUCUCAGAGGGAGGGGGUGCAGGAAAGAGGAGAGGGCUAAAGUUAGAAUUUGGGGGAGAAACUCUUAUUUAGGAAGUCACAGCAAAGGAUACUUGAUCCUGGAGACCCCAGGGAGUCAGUGUGAGUUCUCAUGUGAUGACAGGCUGCAGAUAGGUUAAACAAGAGGAACACUGCUAAGUGUCACUGGAUGUGAUAAAAAGAAGGCCACUGCAUGCGAACUCUUGGGAGCACAGUUUUAGAGGAGGCAUUCAGGAUAGGGGUGGUGGGUAGGAAUAAGUUACUUGCAGAGUUGACUGCUGAAAGGAAAAGAGUUUGUGUGCUAGUCAGGGGGAUGAGAAAAGGAGUUUUCAUAUUUGUUUGUUUGUUUGUUUGUUUUUGUUAAGAGGGAACAGGUUUGGACGUAGAAGGAAGGAGCUUGUGGGCAGGGAGAAGAGAAGAUGGCAAAUUGGUUGUUGAUUUAGAUACUGAAGAGGCGAGACAAGAGGAGGUUCCCUAACAAAAGUAGGAGCUUGGCUUUGGUGAGCAGAGGAGAAACCUCUUUCUUUAAGACUCAAAGGAAAAAAAUUCAGAGGAUAAAUUUAAUGAGAUUGAUGUGGAAAUAUCUUCUACCUCUGUCCUUCUGUUGCGCUUUGGUCCUGUGAGUCCAGACAUUUUCAGCUGGAGUGUUUACUGUUACUUGGACUUUGGUCGGCCUCAAACCUCAACUCUGUCUUUCCGACUCCCUAAGUUAGCUUCUCCUCUUAUCUUCCUUAAUUCCGUAGGUGGCAUCUUCCCUCUCUUAGUCAUGAUGUUUAAAAACUUGGUAUUAUCUUUGAGGAACCUCUUUCUUCUAACAAACUCUAUUGAAUCGUCUUUCAUAGUUAGCCCAUACUAUUCACCCUCAGGGCCAAUGUCCUAGGCCAGGACACCCAUUCUGGCACCCAUGGACUCUGUUAGCAGAAUUAAUUCUUGGCUCUGGGGAAUCUGCUCUCUCACCUCCACUCCAAACUGGACUUCUAAAGUAGGUUGCACUACUUUCAUCAAACCUUAUUUAUGAACUCCAUUGUACCUUCAGGGUCAAGUCCCUUCCUCACACCUCAGCACCAGCCAGGCUGCUCUUCUCACCAUCCAAGGGUGCUUUCAGUCAUCCACCCCUUUACCCCCACUCUACAAAUGCAACUCAUUCUUGAGUCCCAUAUGCUUCUGGAAGCUUUCACAGCUCCUAAAGACCAACUCUCCUCCGAAUUCCUAAAACACUUUACUUGUCUGUACUCAUUUGCUCACUUCAUCAGAGGUAUUGUAUUGGUUUUUAGCCUUUUCAUACACUGUCAUAACUCAGGGAGGGAAGUGAUGUGUUCUUUGAACGAUCUUUGAAAAAGUCUGUGAUUCAUCAAAACCAAACCAAAACAAACUAUCCCCCCGCAACAGAGAUAAAGCAAACUUGGCAAAAUAUAAGCAGCUCUGAAUCUAGGUGGUGAUAUAUUGAUAUUUAUUUAUUUACUUAUCUUUUUGGUGUUUUUGCCAUUUCUUGGGCCACUCCCAAAAAGACCAAAAAAAAAAAAAAAAAAAAAAAAAAAAGCCAUCUCAAGAAGUAGAGAUGGUAAGCUUAGACUGGGACUGAGAGAGAUCAGAAUUUCUCCAGAGGCUGAAGGAAAUCCCGACAUCUCUCCCUGACCGCAUGAAUGGACCUUGAGGGCAUAAGGUUAAGUGAGAUAAGUCAGGCAGAGGAAGACACUUACUGCGUGGUAUCACUUUAUGUGGAAUCUAAAAAAAAAAAAAAAUCAAACUCAUAGAAAUGGAAAGUAGAAAAUUGGCUGGGGUGGGGGUGGAGGCAAUAGGAAGAGGUUGAUAAAAGCAUGUAAACCUUCAGCUCUAAGGUAAGUAAAGGUCUGAGGAUCUACUGUACAUCAUGGUGAUUAUAGCUAACAACACUGUAUUGUAUGUAUAAUUGAAAUUUGUUUGCUAAGUGAGUAGAACUUAAAUGUUCUCAUAAAAAAAAUAAAGACGUAAGGUGAUGGCUGCGUUCACUCGAUGUAGGGAAUCUUUUUACAAUGUAUACAUAUAUCAAAUCGCCAUGAUGUACACUUUAAGUAUUUUAUAGUUUUAUAUGUCAAUUACUCAUUAAUAAAGCCAAAG
rnacentral:lncRNA from 9 species